UACGGAGGGAGCUAGCGUUGUUCGGAAUUACUGGGCGUAAAGCGCACGUAGGCGGCCAUUCAAGUCAGAGGUGAAAGCCCAGGGCUCAACCUUGGAACUGCCUUUGAAACUAGAUGGCUAGAAUUCUGGAGAGGUCAGUGGAAUUCCGAGUGUAGAGGUGAAAUUCGUAGAUAUUCGGAAGAACACCAGUGGCGAAGGCGACUGACUGGACAGAUAUUGACGCUGAGGUGCGAAAGCGUGGGGAGCAAACAGGG
rnacentral:rRNA from 1 species